rnacentral:rRNA from 1 species
GACGUACGCUGGCGGCACGCCUAACACAUGCAAGUCGAACGCAGUAGCAAUACUGAGUGGCAGACGGGUGAGUAACAUGUGGGAAUCUGCCUUGUGGUUCAGGACAACAUUGGGAAACCGAUGCUAAUACUGGAUAAGCCCUUACGGGGAAAGUUUUAAUGCCAUAAGAUGAGCCCGCAUUUGAUUAGUUAGUUGGUGAGGUAAUGGCUCACCAAGACAAUGAUCAAUAGCUGAUCUGAGAGGAUGAUCAGCCACACUGGGACUGAGACACGGCCCAGACUCCUACGGGAGGCAGCAGUGGGGAAUCUUGCACAAUGGAGGAAACUCUGAUGCAGCGAUGCCGCGUGAGUGAAGAAGGCCUUUGGGUUGUAAAGCUCUUUUGUAGGGGAAGAUAAUGACUGUACCCUAAGAAUAAGGUCCGGCUAACUUCGUGCCAGCAGCCGCGGUAAUACGAAGGGACCUAGCGUAGUUCGGAAUUACUGGGCGUAAAGCGCGCGUAGGCCGUUGAGUUAGUUAAUUGUGAAAUCCCAAAGCUUAACUUUGGAACUGCAAUUAAAACUGCUCGACUAGAGUUUGAUAGAGGAAAGCGGAAUACAUAGUGUAGAGGUGAAAUUCGUAGAUAUUAUGUAGAACACCAGUUGCGAAGGCGGCUUUCUGGAUCAACACUGACGCUGAGGCGCGAAAGUAUGGGUAGCAAAGAGGAUUAGAUACCCUCGUAGUCCAUACCAUAAACGAUGAUUGCUAGAUGUUGGAAAUUUAUUUUCAGUAUCGCAGCUAACGCAUUAAGCAAUCCGCCUGGGGAGUACGACCGCA